rnacentral:rRNA from 1 species
AGUGAACGCUGGCGGUAGGCCUAACACAUGCAAGUCGAACGGCAGCACAGUAAGAGCUUGCUCUUACGGGUGGCGAGUGGCGGACGGGUGAGGAAUACAUCGGAAUCUACUUUUUCGUGGGGGAUAACGUAGGGAAACUUACGCUAAUACAGCAUACGACCUACGGGUGAAAGCAGGGGAUCUUCGGACCUUGCGCGAUUGAAUGAGCCGAUGUCGGAUUAGCUAGUUGGCGGGGUAAAGGCCCACCAAGGCGACGAUACGUAGCUGGUCUGAGAGGCGGGUCGCCCACACUGGAACUGGGCCACGGUCCAGACUCCUACGGGAGGCAGCAGUGGGGAAUAUUGGACAAUGGGCGCAAGCCUGAUCCAGCCAUACCGCGUGGGUGAAGAAGGCCUUCGGGUUGUAAAGCCCUUUUGUUGGGAAAGAACAGCAGCAGGUUAAUACCCCGCUGUUCUGACGGUACCCAAAGAAUAAGCACCGGCUAACUUCGUG